CCUGGCGGCCUUAGCACCGUGUUCCCACCUGAACCCAUGCCGAACUCAGAAGUGAAACGCCGUAGCGCCGAUGGUAGUGUGGGGUCUCCCCAUGCGAGAGUAGGGAACUGCCAGGC
rnacentral:rRNA from 1 species